CGCGGUAUUUUGACUGUGCGAAGGUAGCAUAAUCACUUGUCUUUUAAUUGAAGACUUGUAUGAAAGGCUGAACGAGAAAAUAACUGUCUCUUUAAAAAAUCUUGAAUUUUACUUUUAAGUGAAAAGGCUUAAAUAAUUUUAAGGGACGAUAAGACCCUAUAAAUCUUUAUAUUAUUUUUCUUUAAAUUUCAAAUUAUAUAUUAAAAGAAAUAAAAGAAAAAAGUAUUAUAUUGGGGAGAUAAAAAUAUAAUUUUUAACUGUUUUAAGCAUAAAACAAUAAUUUUUGAUUUAUUAAAAAUUGAUCCUUUUUAAAGAUUUUAAGAUUAAGUUACUUUAGGGAUAACAGCGUAAUUUUUUUUGAGAGUUCUUAUCGAAAAAAAAGUUUGCGACCUCGAUGUUGAAUUAAAAUAUCCUUAUAAGUGCAGAAGCUAUAAAGGAAAGUCUGUUCGACUUUUAAAAUUUUACAU
rnacentral:rRNA from 1 species